AUGGAUCAGAGCAGCUUUGGGAAUCUCGGAGCUGGAGAAGGGGGCAGCAGCAGCUCCAAGGCUUCUUCAUCCUUCCUGCAGCUGCAGCCACUGUCGACAACGACGGUGGCUUCCGGGCGAGGCCCGAUGGGCGGAACGUACUACGGCACGCCGCUCGCGUUGCACCAGGCCGCCGCAGCCGCCGGGUCGUCGCAGUACCAGUUCCACCACCACAAGAGCAGCGGCGAGGAGAUCUCGCAAGCGGAGGCUGAGGCCAUUAAGGCCAAGAUCAUGGCGCACCCCCAGUACACCGCCCUCCUCGUCGCCUACCUCGACUGCCAGAAAGUCGGUGCGCCGCCGGACGUGCUGGAGCGGCUGACGGCCAUGGCAGCGAAGCUUGACGCCCACCCGCCGGGCCGGCUGCACGAGGCUCGCGACCCAGAGCUCGACCAGUUCAUGGAGGCGUAUUGCAACAUGCUCGCCAAGUACAGGGAGGAGCUGACGCGGCCGAUAGAGGAGGCCAUGGAGUUCCUCAAGCGAGUGGAGGCGCAGCUCGACUCCAUCACCGGCGGUGGCCACGGCUCCGCGCGCCUCUCCCUUGCCGAUGGCAAAUGUGAAGGCGCUGGCUCUUCUGAGGAUGAAAUGGACGCUAGCGGGCGUGAAAAUGAGCCGCCAGAGAUAGACCCACGCGCUGAGGACAAGGAGCUCAAGUACCAGCUUCUGAAGAAGUACAGUGGCUACCUGAGCAGCCUCCGGCAAGAGUUCUCCAAGAAGAAGAAGAAGGGGAAGCUCCCAAAGGAGGCCAGGCAGAAGCUACUUCACUGGUGGGAGCUGCACUACAAGUGGCCUUACCCCUCGGAGACAGAAAAGAUCGCGCUUGCGGAAUCGACAGGGCUAGACCAGAAACAGAUCAACAACUGGUUCAUUAACCAGAGGAAACGGCAUUGGAAACCGUCUGAGGACAUGCCGUUUGUCAUGAUGGAAGGAUUCCACCCACAGAAUGCCGCUGCCCUCUACAUGGACGGUCAGUUCAUGGCUGACGGCAUGUACCGCCUUGGUUCGUGA
rnacentral:rRNA from 1 species